rnacentral:tRNA from 1 species
UUAACAAAAGCUUAUAAAAAGCAGCUUAUUGUUACUAAGAAGACAGAAACAAUUUUCUUGUUAAG